rnacentral:SRP_RNA from 10 species
ACUAGGCAUGGUGGUGUGUGCUUGUAGUCCCAGCUACUUGGGAGGCUGAGACAGGAGGGUUGCUUGAGUCCAGGAGUUCUGGAUUGUGGUGUGCUAUGCUGAUUGGGUGUCUGCACUAAGUUUGGCAACAAUAUGUUGAUCUCCCAUGAGCUGGGGACCACCAGGUUCCCCGAGGAGGGGUGAACUGGCCCAGGUGGGAAAUGGAGCAGGUCAAAAGUGUGCUGAUUAGUAGUGAGGUUGCACCUGUGAAUCGGCACUGCAUUCCAGUUUGGGCAACACAGCGAGACCCUAUCU